UCAAGUGAAUCGAUCUAAUUCGGGGCUUGCCAUCAUUCCGGGUGGAUUAACCACAGAAUUCCAAUCGCUAAAUAUUUGUGUUAACAGGGGCGUUUAAAGUUAAAUUGCGAGCCGCGUGGGAGUAUCGGAUGACUGAAGGCGAACACAUAUUCACCAGGCCACGAGGCAACGCCGGACGGGUUACGCCACUAUCAGCCAGUGGAUCGUGGAAGCCUGGGCAAAGAAGUCCCAGGCAGAGGCAUGACACACAACCUUACGCCCAUCCUCAGGCUUUUCCAGCAUGGAUUUAUCCCAGAAUUCUUGAGGCAUUGGCAGCAAACCAAGAGAAGUAAAGAACCGGUCUGACUCAUUGAACAUUUUCACAGCAUUCCACCCCUGGAAAUAAGAAGGAAUUCAGAUGAGCAGGAAUCGGUCCCUUCAGGUUGACAUACUUGGCACCGUACUUUUUGUACAAAGCUCUACGGACAUAAGCGUGGACGUUCUGGUAGAGUGGCUCCAGCUCCAACCACAGAGUCUCCAGGUCUUGCUCAAAGGUUGGGGAUUCAUACAAGGAACGCCAGAAAGCUCCGUUAUCAGGGUGACCUACAGAAAGACACAGGUCAUACCUGAGGUACCACCAUUCUGAGUUGUAUUUCUCUGGAGGAGUUUGUCCACUGAACACACCCCACCUCCACUGGUCAAUGAGGUAACCAAAAGGAAGGAAGGCGAUCUUCUCCAAAGCCAUCUUUAACAGGCUUCUCCAACAUGGACUCAUCCCAGAAUUCCUGAGGCAUUGGGUCCAAUCCCAGAGAGGUGAAGAACUCCUCAGCCACACGGAACAUGUGUGUAGCAUUGUAACCCUGUCACAAAGAAAAAUAUCACGUAUAAC